CCUACGGGUGGCUGCAGUCGAGAAUCAUUCACAAUGGGGGAAACCCUGAUGGUGCGACGCCGCGUGGGGGAAUGAAGGUCUUCGGAUUGUAAACCUCUGUCAUGUGGGAGCAAAUUAAAAAGAUAGUACCACAAGAGGAAGAGACGGCUAACUCGGUGCCAGCAACCGCGGUAAUACAGAGGUCUCAAGCGUUGUGCGGAAUCACUGGGCGUAAAGGGUGCGUAGUGUGUGUCGUAAGUCGUGUGUGAAAGGCGCGGGCUCAACCCGCGGAUGGCACAUGAUACUGGGAGACUAGAGUAAUGGAGGGGGAACCGGAAUGCUCGGUGUAGCAGUGAAAUGCGUAGAUAUCGAGAGGAACACUCGUGGCGAAGGCAGGUUCCUGGACAUUAACUGACGCUGAGGCACGAAGGCCAGGGGAGCGAAAGGGAUUAGAUACCCGAGUAGUC
rnacentral:rRNA from 1 species